UACGUAGGGGGCAAGCGUUGUCCGGAUUUAUUGGGCGUAAAGAGCGUGUAGGCGGUUCGGUAGGUCCGUUGUGAAAACUCGAGCUCAACCUCGAGACGCCGAUGGAAACCCCCGAACUAGAGUCCGGAAGAGGAGAAUGGAAUUCCUGGUGUAGCGGUGAAAAUGCGCAGAUAUCAGGAAGAACACCCGUGGCUAAGGCGGUUCUCUAGUACGGUACUGACGCUGAGGCGCGAAAGCGUGGGGAGCAAACAGG
rnacentral:rRNA from 1 species